GUCAAAGAGUCACGAAGACGAGAAGUAAUGCUUGAUUGGGUUGUUUGACGAAAAGAAAUUUUAUGUAAAUUUUUACCCAUUCGCAAAUGAUCGAUAGACUUGAAUAGUGGUUUUCCGAGAAGUGUGUUUCAGCCACAAUUUUGCGGUUAGUUUAGAAUUUGAGUUACUAUUUUGCGUUGCUCAGGUUUAUUGGAUGUGUAAAGUGCAGUGUUUCAAGUGGUUUUUCCCUCCCCUAUUUUAUUUAGCGCAAGGCGGAGACAUUUAGUAGCUCAGCACUGAUGGCUGUGAAAAUGCAGGAGAAGCUAGAGUAAUCGUGAAAGACGAUAUGAGAUAUAUUUCUCUGAUGUCAUCUUCAAUGAGAAAUUGCCCGCGUGCAGUGGUGUAAGAAAAAGUAGCCAGCAAAGCCAAUAAUGUCAACAUUCUUGUGGGACAACACAACUGAAGAAGCCCCAACCGGAUUACAUGGAGAGCCAACUCACAAUUAUUGCAUCAUCUCGCAUCGCCGAUGAUGUUAACACAGCCCAGAAGAGAGGAAAAAAUGACGAGCUUGGCGGUAAAAAUUAUCACAAAAUGAAAUUGAAAGUUUUAUUCGUCUCUCCCAGUUUUCCACGCAAACUAUGGCGGAGCGUGAGGAUGUGAUAUGAUGGAGUGUGUCUCCUUCGGAUCUCCUCAGAGAGAGAAAGAUGCGCGCCAUCCAUUUAGCAUUGACCAAGGCCGGCGAGUGUGUUAUAAAUCCACAAGCACCUCCGAUAUUCAGUCAUAUCAGCCAAUCCAUUAGCAUAGUUUGGUAUGUAAAUUUAUGGAAGAUGAUCUUCCAUGCUAGUGACAUUUGGAGAAUAUACCAAAGACACUUUUUUCACUGCCCCUCUGGCAUAUUUAACAAAUGGACCAGUUUUUGUAUAUUAUUUACCCACUCGCCUCCGUUUGAUGCCAAAUUGCAACACGCUGACGAAAGCUCCCUCUCAUCUACAUUUCCCGCAUACAACUCAGCUUCUGUGCGGCAAUUGUUCUUUUUGCAGAGACACGACGCGCGGCAUUGUGGGGCCCGCGGGGCCAAUUUGUACACAUCUUCGUCAGUAUUCACCUCCAGAUGCAUUGUCUUCCCGCCAAAGCCCCCCAAUCUCGCCAAAUUUCAGCAAAUAGAGACGAAAAUGACAGUGUUUGGCGACCUCAUGCGCGCAAACAGGUUUCCAGACACUCUUUCCGUGAAUCGCGGGGGAAAAAAAUACUAUUUACACUGACAAGAAAUUAAA